rnacentral:misc_RNA from 1 species
GAUGAAGAACGCAGCGAAAUGCGAUAAGUAAUGUGAAUUGCAGAAUUCAGUGAAUCAUCGAAUCUUUGAACGCACCUUGCACCCUUUGGUAUUCUGAAGGGUAUGCUCGUUUGAGUGUCAUUGUACUCUCACACUCCCGAUCUUUGCAUUGGGAGCAGUGGACUUGGGUUUGCUGCUUCACCGUCGCUUACCUCAAAUAGGUUAGUGCAACUCUUGGUUGGACAUAGUACGGCGUGAUAAGUGUUCUUCGCCGGUGCCUCGCAAAGAGGGUGGCUGAUCGGGAUGUUGUGCUCCAAACCGUCUUCGGACAAUCUCUGACGACUUGACCUCAAAUCGAGUAAGACUACCCGCUGAACUUAAGCAUAUCAAUAAGCGGAGGA